CCUGUGAGUUGAACACUUCAUGACUGAGAGCUGUCCUUCAUGACAACAGAACCCACAACAACCAUGACUUUUAUCACCAUCUUCAUCUGGACACUUGUCUUCUACAUCAGGGAAUCAAGAGGACAGAUCACUGUGACUCAGACUCCUACAAUGAAAGCUGUUCUCUCAGGACAGCCAGUCUCUAUGAUCUGUAAAGCCAGCAGUAAUGUGUAUAGUAAUUGUUACAAUGGUCAGUCAUGGGGCCAUCAGUGUCUAUCCUGGUACCAACAGAAACCAGGAGAAAAACCCAAACUCAUGAUGCUUCCAGGGAACACACUCCAUUCUGGGACUCCAUCUAGAUUCAGUGGCAGUGGAUCUGGGAGUGACUUCACUCUGACCAUCAGUGGAGUCCAGGCUGAAGAUGCAGGAGAUUACUACUGUCAGAGUUUACACAUCCCCAAUAGUAAAUAUGUGUUCACACAGUGAUACAGAGUCGUACAAAAACCUCCCUCAGUCAGACUGUACAGUGACUGUACUGCUACAGCUGGGACCUACUGCAGGUGCUGAGGGGAGGAGAUGAUCCAGUACAAUGACACAGUGUGUAGUAGAGCUGAACAACAAUAGAGUCAAACUAGAGCUACUGUAUGUCUAGAAGACCUUAAAUCAUAACUGAUCACUAAAUGUUUCUCCUGACCAUUAACUACAUGUUGACUCUGCUGAGUAAUUCAAGGAAAACCAUCAGCCAAACUCAAAUCAAACUAGAGAUGAUGUGCAAUGAUCCAAACCCCCAAAGAUG